rnacentral:lncRNA from 1 species
CAGCCCUUCUCCCACCUUUCCAGUCGUCUCGUCCUGAUUGAUGCCUCCAUCCAUCCUACCAAAGUUAUUGUGGAUGUUAUCACAAUUGCUAGGAGCAGCAGCAACACUUCUCUCCAACUCCAUCAUCCACUCUAUCAAAUCCCAGUCCAUCUUCUUCUCCUAGUCUCGUUCGCAGUUGCUAGUAAUAGCCGUUUAUUGAAAAGA